AGGGCAUACGGUGGAUGCCUAGGCGCCAAGAGCCGAAGAAGGACGCGGUAAGCUGCGAAAAGCCACGGGGAACUGCAAGCAAGUAUUGAUCCGUGGAUAUCCGAAUGGGGAAACCCGGCCAUCGUCAUGGAUGGUCACCCGCAAGGGAGGGAACCUGGGGAACUGAAACAUCUAAGUACCCGGAGGAAGAGAAAUCAAACGAGAUGCCCACAGUAGCGGCGAGCGAAGAGGGCAGAGCCCAAACCGAGAAGCUCCGGCUUUUCGGGGUUGAGGACCGGCAGAAUCGAAGUCAGGCCUAGUUGAAUUACCUGGAAAGGUAAGCGAGAGAGGGUAAAAGCCCCGUAGACGAAAGGCAGAGCAGAGAGGCCGAGAUCCAGAGUACCACGAAGCACGAGGAAUUUUGUGGGAAGCAGGGGGGACCACCCUCCAAGGCUAAAAACUACUUGGCGACCGAUAGCGCAUAGUACCGUGAGGGAAAGGUGAAAAGAACCCCGGGAGGGGAGUGAAAUAGUACCUGAAACCGUAUGUCUACAAGCAGUCGAAGCGAAAGCGACGGCGUGCCUAUUGAAGAAUGAACCAACGAGUUAUCUGCACUAGCGAGGUUAAGUGGAAGACACGGAGCCGCAGCGAAAGCGAGUCUUAAGAGGGCGCUAGUUAGUGUAGGUAGACCCGAAACCGCAGUGAUCUACCCAUGUCCAGGUUGAAGCGCAGGUAAAAUUGCGUGGAGGACCGAACCGGUGAGCGUUGAAAAGCUUUCGGAUGAGAUGUGGGUAGGGGUGAAAUUCCAAUCGAACGCGGAGAUAGCUGGUUCUCCCCGAAAUAGCUUUAGGGCUAGCCUGAGGUAGUAAGUAUAGGCGGUAGAGCACUGAUCGGGCUAGGGGCCGUAAAGGUUACCGAACCCUGUCAAACUCCGAAUGGAUAUACUGUAGAGCCUUGGAGUCAGACUACGAGUGAUAAGAUCCGUGGUCAAAAGGGAAACAGCCCAGACCACCAGCUAAGGUCCCCAAUGUCGUACUAAGUGGAAAAGGAUGUGGGGUUUCAUAAACAACCAGGAUGUUGGCUCAGAAGCAGCCACCAUUUAAAGAGUGCGUAAUAGCUCACUGGUCGAGAGACCCUGCGCCGAAGAUUCCCGGGGCUAAAGUACGAAACCGAAGCUGUGGCUGUAUACGUAAAGUAUACGGGGUAGGGGAGCGUUCCCAUAGGGUAGAAGUCGAACUGGAAGGUUCGGUGGACUUGUGGGAAGUGAGAAUGUUGGUAUGAGUAGCGAAAAGAAAGGUGAGAAUCCUUUCCACCGAAAGCAUAAGGAUUCCUGAGCAACGAUCGUCGUCUCAGGGUAAGUCGGGACCUAAUCCGAGGCAGAGAGCGUAGGAGAUGGACAACUGGUUGAUAUUCCAGUACCGGUAGUAAUUGUUUGAGCAAUGGAGUGACACAGAAGGGCAGGCAAGCAUGCGAAUGGAAGAGCAUGUGUAAGCGUGUAGGGUGGUGCAUAGGCAAAUCCGUGCACUGAAAGCCUGAGGCGUGAUGCGGAGUGAGCAGAGAUGCGAGCGAAGUUGUUGACCCCACACUGUCGAGAAAAGCUUCUAGUGAGAGAGCUACCGCCCGUACCGUAAACCGACACAGGUAUGCGGGGAGAGAAUCCUAAGGUGCGCGGGAGAACCCUCGUUAAGGAACUCGGCAAAAUGUACCCGUAACUUCGGGAUAAGGGUAGCCACUGUUGUGAAGUCCCAUGCGGAUGGAGCAUAGAGUGGUCGCAGAGAAGAGGCCCAAGCGACUGUUUACCAUAAACACAGGUGCCUGCUAAAGCGAAAGCUGACGUAUAGGUGCUGACACCUGCCCAGUGCCGGAAGGUUAAGGAAGGAUGUUCGGAUUAGUCCAAAGCAUUCGACUGAAGCCCCGGUGAACGGCGGCCGUAACUAUAACGGUCCUAAGGUAGCGAAAUUCCUUGUCGGGUAAGUUCCGACCCGCACGAAAGGUGUAACGAUUUGGGCACUGUCUCAACGAGGGACCCGGUGAAAUUGAAAUACCUGUGAAGAUGCAGGUUACCCGCGACUGGACAGAAAGACCCCAUGGAGCUUUACUGUAACCUGACAUUGGGUUUUGAUACAUUACGUACAGGAUAGGUGGGAGGCAUGGAAAGUUGGACGCUAGUCUGACUGGAGCCGACGUUGGGAUACCACCCUUGAUGUAUUGAAAUUCUAACCGCGAGAGUAACGAAAUCCGGGACAGUGUCAGGCGGGCAGUUUGACUGGGGCGGUCGCCUCCGAAAGAGUAAC
rnacentral:rRNA from 1 species